UACAGAGGGUGCGAGCGUUAUCGGAAUUACUGGGCGUAAAGCGCACGUAGGCGGCUUGGUAUGUCGGGUGUGAAAUCCCCGGGCUCAACCUGGGAACUGCAUCCGAAACUGCCUUGCUAGAGUAUGGGAGAGGGAAGUGGAAUUUCCGGUGUAGCGGUGAAAUGCGUAGAUAUCGGAAGGAACAUCAGUGGCGAAGGCGACUUCCUGGACCAAUACUGACGCUCAGGUGCGAAAGCGUGGGGAGCAAACAGG
rnacentral:rRNA from 1 species